rnacentral:misc_RNA from 1 species
GUGAAUCAUCGAAUUUUUGAACGCAAAUUGCACUCUCCGCAAAGAGUAGGCGUGUUUGAGGGGCAGCCGAUAAAAAAACGACAUCGUUGCUGUUUCGCGGUUACGUUCGUCGGGAAUUGGGUCAUCGUAAAGCCUUUUGGUGUAAGCGACGUAAAAUUUUCUUUUGGUUGCAUGAACAGUUCUAAGUUCGAGUUCUUUACACGUUUAAGGUAUCGAU